CAACGCGAGGCCACGGCCCGGCUUGGCCAUCGUGUGAGUGCCUUUCUAUACGAACUUACUCGUGUGAGUGAGUGAGCGUACGGACCAUCGCAUCGGGAGGACUUGCCGAGGUACUCGGAGGCGCGCGCGCGCCAUCAACAUCGAGCAGAUAAAAUAAACACUCGUACAGAACGGACACCUUGUCUGUUGGUUAAUUCUGUCCAGUCGACUAUCGCACGCUUCAACUUUUUUAAACACGACAUUCCCGUAAAUUUCUUUUAUCUACAUCACGUUUCACCUUAAAUUUAUCACUUCGAAACCACCUUAAAAUUAUACCUAAAGUCCAUGUUUGUAAAACUUUCAAUUGUGUACAAUAUUUUAUUUAAAAUAAAAGAAUACAUCCCCGA